GCCAGACUCCUACGGGAGGCAGCAGUGAGGAAUAUUGGUCAAUGGGCUUACGCCUGAACCAGCCGAGUCGCGUGAGGGAAGACUGCCCUAUGGGUUGUAAACCUCUUUUGUCAGGGAGCAACGCCGGCUACGUGUAGCCGGACUGAGAGUACCUGAAGAAAAAGCAUCGGCUAACUCCGUGCCAGCAGCCGCGGUAAUACGGAGGAUGCGAGCGUUAUCCGGAUUUAUUGGGUUUAAAGGGUGCGUAGGCGGGCUUUUAAGUCAGCGGUAAAAAUUCGGGGCUCAACCCCGUCCGGCCGUUGAAACUGGGGGCCUUGAGUGGGCGAGAAGAAGGCGGAAUGCGUGGUGUAGCGGUGAAAUGCAUAGAUAUCACGCAGAACUCCGAUUGCGAAGGCAGCAUACCGGCGCCCAACUGACGCUGAAGCACGAAAGCGUGGGUAUCGAACAGGAUUAGAUACCCGAGUA
rnacentral:rRNA from 1 species